CAUCUGUUGCUAAUCUUCCUCUUUUUUUGCUAGAGGAAGAUUGUCACUGAGCUAACAUCUGUGCCCAUCUUCCUCUAUUUUUCGUGGUACGCCACCACAGCAUGGCUUGAUGAGUGGUGCUAGUCCGUGAACGGGAUCCGAACGUGUGAACCCUGGGCUACGGAAGCAGUGCAUGCAAACUUAAUCACUACACCACUGGGCCAGCCCCGCUUCUCCAUCAUUUCUUAAAGAGCAGAAACAUCAGCUCUAUCAACAUUUUAUUAAUACAUUCUGUGCCCUGAGAUGUAAUUAUUCUGGUUCUGAGAAUUUAAAUGCAUUUAAAGCAUAUUAAAUUCUCUCUUAUUAUCUUUUAUCUUCGGGGAAGUAUCCUCUUAAAGAUAGCUUUCCCACCAUUUAUUGUUAGGAAUUAUUCCCCUUGGCAGUAAAGCAAAGGAGGAAUUGAGUCAUUUACUAUUCUCUCUUUCAUGCGUUAACAUUUUACUAUCUGCCCAAAGAAGUGAGUCUUUAUCUAUGUUUGUUUCCUUAGGAGCAUUAUUUACGACUUUGCCAGCCUCUCCUCUUCCUGGCCAUAUUCUUUUGGGUUUAAUAAUUUGUUGUUGUUUGGCUGCGAUUCCCUUCUCCUGUAUUUUGUACAUGUGCUUCUAUUUUAAAAUAAAGCCUAGGAGACACAUUUUGAGGUCAUGGCCUUUCUCUGAGAGCCCACGGCUAGAUUUGGGGUUUGUGUGAGGUCAUUAUCGUCCUUGACCACAGUCAACUGGACAAGGGACGAACAGCUGGAAUGUCAGACUCUCGCCGCAGUUUGGAGCUGAGACUGAAUUGCUGUUUUAGUCCCAGUUGGCCACUUGAAUGGAGAGAUUAGGACCUCAGAAGUAGUGAAAUGAAGUAUAGUGGGACUGCACACAAUGAAAUGGUGAGAGAGGAGAAUGGAAAGACGUAUAGAGAUGUGAAGCCCAAGAGAUGAGCCCCUGAUGGUUUACCAGGUCCUCAUAAGUUAUGGAAGGAUAAGUCUUUGAAAUUUCAAUUGCAUUCUCUGCUCCUCACUACUUCCACUAUGAGGAGGUGGCUGGAGCAUUGAUAUUCCCUUGACUCUCAAACGUUACAGGUUAGAAAGCAAAAGCCGCAACAACACAGAGAAGCACUGUGGGGCUGUGGGUAGUGGCAGUUCUCGAGUCAGGUCAUCUGCUUUCGGAGAAUCUCGUGUCACUUCCGGUCUGUGAGACCCUGGGCAAGUGGCUUCAUCACCCUAUUGUCUCAUCUGUUAAAUGGGGAUAAUACUGCCUAUCUCAUAGUAUUGUGAUAAUUAAAUUAACUAAAAAUGUAAAGUCCUUGGAACAAUUACCAUCCAGUCAUAAAGGAACUAAUACGUGCAAGUUAUUUUUAUUAUCUUAGUUUUUUUUCCAAAGCCCAAAACUAAUUGAAGAGCAGCACUGCAUGUUCCAGAGGGUGAAAGGAGAGAGGAACGCCGCCAAGGACUUGGAGUGUGUCUGGAGGAAGCAGAGCAGCCAAAGUGAAUCCUAUCUGAUUCUGCAAGAAAAUAACAGAGCUUACAGAUCCAAAGUACAAACUAGGACAAUGGGAAAAAUGGAACAAUGGGUGGAAACUCUGAGGACUGUUGACAAAAGACUGGAGAGGCCUCUUCUGUUCUCGGGGGCUCGCCUGGACAAAGAUAAGCAGUCAGUUGUUCCUUAUUGAUCUGAAUCCAGUCCGGAAUGGCAGUUCUUGCUGCUUCCUCUACCAGCUGAGCGGAGACCAUCAGCGAGGCAAGCCAAGAACUUAGCAUCUGCAAUUCUUCCAGCAGAGUUAGUCCACCUAAAGCUGCAGAGCUCCUUGAGUCUUUCAAAUGUGGUUUUUACACCUCUGGGGGACAAUAGAAGAGAUUCUUCGGCAUGGUGUGGAUAACGCCUAUAGAGACUGCCUUUGUUAUUUAAAUCAUUCACAGAGCCCAUUGUUCUUUGAAACUGGUCGACUGUGCAAUUGAACUGAAGCCAUACACUGAAGUGGCGAGAAGGAACACAGAGAAAUGGGCACAAGGAGUGUGAAACUCACAACGCCCACUUUGCCAUGGAUUCGCUCUGUGAUUCUGUACAAGCUGCUCUAACUUGCUGGAUUUUACUCUUGCCAUCUAUAAAAUGGGGAUAAUUAUGUCUCUUCUGGAUAGCUCACAAAAGUGUCUGGUACGGUGCUUGAAAACAUAAUGAAGUUCUGUUCGAACGGA